rnacentral:lncRNA from 1 species
UAGUACCUCUGAUUUUUUUUUAUUUGAUUGCUUUUAUUGUUAGAUUGGUGUUCCUUUUUACUCUGACUUACAUUAUGGGAGCUUUAUUUAAAUGUCCAUUAAAAGGCCUGCCAUCUGUAAUUGAGCAUUUUGAAGGGAUGCAUGAUUGACAAGGGCAUGAACAAGUUAGCUGUAGGCCUCACUCUCCGACAGCCGGCCUCUGGGGUGCUAUAAUUCUGUUGGAAGACAUGUCUGUGUGCUCUACAGAGUUCAGCAACUUUCCUGGGUCUCUGUCCAUUGGAUUCAACACCAUCCCCCUCCAGUCAUGGCAAUCAAAAUUCUUUCUAAAUGAACCCCUAACUUGUACUUGGGAAUGGCCACUCUUGGACAAACCCUUGGCAGAAUGGCCACUUAUUUUCUCCAAAAAUUUAAGACUUGAAAGAACUAAAUUUUCUCUGGUUCUACUUGCCUUCUUCGGAAAGCUCCUAUAUCUUUCCCUGGGUGGAGGAAAAUCACCUUGGUGGGAGCCAAGUGUGGCUUUCUCCUAGUCCCCUCCAUUCCCAUUAAGCACCCCGCAAUUUCCUGAACUGUUUCUGGCAUCUAUAACCCAAUGCCUCCAAAGUUCCCCUCCCUCAGCUCCCUGUAGCUCUCAUGCUCAGUAAAAUAAGCUGUCAAUCCUUUUUUUAAAAAAAAAGAAGAACAAGUAUUAGAAAAUAGCUUUACCCAAAACAAAUAAAGUAGAUAUUGAGGUGAAAACCAAUCCUCCAUUGGAGAAUGUUCCCUUCUCCAUGCAAUCUGUAAAGCUUCAAUGUAAAUCACUUAACACAUGGAGCAUCUUUUGUUGGUGUGUUCAAACUGUGUGGGAGGUGGUUAAGGCAAUUGCUAAAAUAACAUUGUAUAGGAAUAAAUCCUUUAAGCUGAUAUUUAAUAUUUCAUCUAGUAUUUUGGUCUUACACGCGUUCUCGCGACCGGCCAGGAAGAACGCAGCAAACCAGAAUCUUCUGCGGCAAAACUUUAUUGCUUACAUCUUCAGGAGCAAGAGUGCAAGAGAGCAAGAGCUCUAUUGCUUACAUCUUUAGGAGCCAGAGCACAAGAGCGCAAGAGUGCAAGAGCAAAAGCAAGAGUGCAAAGGAGAGAAUGGCGAAACCCCGUCCCUUUUUAAGGAGAAUUAUUCUCCGCCUAGGACGUAUUACUCCCUGAUUGGCUGCAGCCCAUCGGCCGAGUUGUCGUCACGGGGAAGGCAGAGCACAUGUAGUGGAAAACUACCCUUGGCACAUGCGCAGAUUAUUUGUUUACCACUUAGAACAUAGGAUGUCAGCGCCAUCUUGCAACGGCGAAUGUGAGGGCGGCUCCCUACAUUUUGGUACAAAUUUUAUUAUUUUCCUAAUGUUUUAAAACUGUUUUAUCUAGGAUCAACAGUGAAAUGGUCUGGAGGAUGUUUUAAUUUUAUUUUUUAUGUAUGUGUGUGUUUACCUGCAUGUACAUCUGUGUACCCUGUGUGUGCCUGGUGCCCACAGAAGCAUGAUAAAGACAUUGGAUCUCUUGGGCCUAGAGUUACAAAAGGUUAUGAGCUGCCAUGUGAUGCUAGAAAUAAAUCCCAGGUUCUCUGGAAGAGUAGGCAGUAUUUGUAACCACAGAGCCAUCUCUACAAUGCGACCAGAGCUUUUUGUUUUUUAGGUGUUUGUUUGUUUGUUUGUUUGUUGAAGAGCAGUGAUUCUUCCUAAUGCCUUGACCCUUAAACACAGUUCCUCGUGUGUGGUGACUGUAACCAUAAAAUUAUUUUCAUUGCUACUUCAUAACUAUAAUUUUGAUUUUGUUAUGAAUCAAAUGUAAAUAUCUAAUAUGCAGAAUACCUGGUAUGUGACCCCUGUGAAAGGGUUGUUUGAUCCCCAAAGGGGUUGUGACUCACAGGUUGAGAACCACUGGUUUAGAGCAACAAGGUUAGCCAUAUUUAAAUGGAAAUUAUAAUUCUGUCAUAAUUCAGCUAGUUCACCUCUCCUUACCAGUAAGACUUUGAAAACUCCAGAUUUGCAAAUGGUUUAAUACAUGUACAUGUUCAUCGUGUAAGAAAGAUUAUCAUUGGCCAUUGUUUAAACCUCCAACCAACCUAUUUCUUUUAGAUACCUACCUUAAGUGAAAAAAUAACCCGAAUUUAAUUCAAUUCCAGUUCAUGAGUAAAAACCACAAGAGAGGUAGAGAGAAGAGGAGGAAGGGAAGUUGGUUUUAAAAAGAGGGUGUGCUUGCCUCGGAAAGCAUCCUUCUAACCAUCUGAUCCCUUUUUCCUGGUGCUCUCUUCUUUGUUUGAGAGGAAACUAAAAAACCAAGCUGAGAGGACGAUGACUUCAGCUCUCCUCAGCCUUGUCAAUACCCUGUUCUUACUUUGUCCUCCACACGUCCUUGACUGUGGUGAACACUGUGUUUCUAAACCUCUUCUUCCUGCCGAUAUUUAAAAAGGAAGAAUUUGACUACAGGAAGCCAAUGUUUCUGUUGAUUUUCUUUUUCUUUUUCUUUUUUUUUUUUUUAUGUCCUUGGCUUUUUAGGCAGGGACAUCAACAGCUGGAGAAGAAAUAGUUAUGUUCUGUAGUAGUUAGCGAACAAC